UAUAAUGUAUUGCAUGAAUAUUGGAAGAUCAUAUAAUUAAUCAAGAAACUAAGAAGAAGAAAAACACUUAAGGCCCUUUAAGGCUUUAACCUUCAUUCAUUGCGGAAAAAAAGAAACAAUUGUACUUGUGAUCCAUCAUGAGCUUCAUGACUCAGAACAGUAGCACCCGAAACAACGGAGUAGUAGCAGUUAAACCAAAGAGAAAAGGCAUAAAACGUAAGAUCAUUUGGAAAGUCACCAAAAUGGUUAUCAGACAUUCAAUCUACCAUGCUACAGGAAUGUCUCAUCUCAGUUUCAUUGAAGUCGCCGGCCAUCUACUCAACUGAUCGAUUCAGAGGUUAUUGGUUAGUUGCUCGUCUUUCUUCGCAAUUUCUAUGUUACUCCGGGAGUACCAUGCAAAAUAUAUGUUAUUUUGAAAUAAGUACAUGUUAUUUUAUACUUGUAUAUUUUUUAUUUUUUUUAAUAUUCAACAUCGAUUAUUUUAUAGUACUUCAAUUCUAUAAAA